rnacentral:rRNA from 1 species
UAGCGGCGAGCGAAGCGGGAAGAGCUCAAAUUUAUAAUCUGGCACCUUCGGUGUCCGAGUUGUAAUCUCUAGAAAUGUUUUCCGCGUUGGACCGCACACAAGUCUGUUGGAAUACAGCGGCAUAGUGGUGAGACCCCCGUAUAUGGUGCGGACGCCCAGCGCUUUGUGAUACAUUUUCGAAGAGUCGAGUUGUUUGGGAAUGCAGCUCAAAUUGGGUGGUAAAUUCCAUCUAAAGCUAAAUAUUGGCGAGAGACCGAUAGCGAACAAGUACCGUGAGGGAAAGAUGAAAAGCACUUUGGAAAGAGAGUUAACAGUACGUGAAAUUGUUGGAAGGGAAACGCUUGAAGUCAGACUUGCUUGCCGAGCAAUCGGUUUGCAGGCCAGCAUCAGUUUUCCGGGAUGGAUAAUGGUAGAGAGAAGGUAGCAGUUUCGGCUGUGUUAUAGCUCUCUGCUGGAUACAUCUUGGGGGACUGAGGAACGCAGUGUGCCUUUGGCGGGGGUUUCGACCUCUUCACACUUAGGAUGCUGGUGGAAUGGCUUUAAACGGUCCGUCUUGAAACAACGGACCAUUU